rnacentral:rRNA from 1 species
UACGGAGGUGCAAGCGUUAUCCGGAUUCACUGGGUUUAAAGGGUGCGUAGGCGGGCAGGUAAGUCCGUGGUGAAAUCUCUGAGCUUAACUCAGAAACUGCCAUGGAUACUAUUUGUCUUGAAUGUUGUGGAGGUAAGCGGAAUAUGUCAUGUAGCGGUGAAAUGCUUAGAUAUGACAUAGAACACCAAUUGCGAAGGCAGCUUACUACACAAAUAUUGACGCUGAGGCACGAAAGCGUGGGAUCAAACAGG